AAGGGAAAAAUACUAUUUUAAAUAAAAAGUGACUUAAUUCUAAUAAAAGUAGUACAUAGUAUAUAUUAUUUAUAGGGCAAACAAACAUCAGCUUCUGCUACUAGCGAUGGGAGCCUGCCCCUGGCUGUAAUACCCAGACAGUGAGUAGUGAAAUAGAGGAACCCCCGCAGUAUCAUGGUUAAGAGACGGCAGACCAUGCCCCCUGAAAGCAUGCUGCAGUUCCCCAGCAAGAUAGCUAUAAAGUUGGACAGACAAACAGAAUAAACAUGAAAAUAAGACUUACAUCUUCAGAAAGGUUGGUUUCAAUAGCUGAUUUUAUAACUUUGAUCAAAAAUGAAGUUCUUGCUUCCUCGAUUUUUGGAUCUGGGCUCGGACUCAUGAUGUUUGCUUUUGAUUUUAUGUCUACCCAAAGAGUGAAAUAAAGUUGUGACAGGCUUAAACUGACGGAUUGGAAAAGAUGCUAAGAACCAGAGUGCUUUUGCACAUUGUUUCUGAAUGUUUACAAUCUUCAAAUUUGGCUUUCCUUGAGCAAUUGCUAUUUCAGCAAGAGAUGGUUGAGUUUCCGAAGUCCACAAUCCUUCGCGUGAGACAAGGUGUUUUUCAUCAUUGUAGUCUAAAUUUGUGCUGGAC